GUUGAACGCUGGCGGCAGGCCUAACACAUGCGAGUCGAGCGGAUGAAGGGAGCUUGCUCCUGGAUUCAGCGGCGGACGGGUGAGUAAUGCCUAGGAAUCUGCCUGGUAGUGGGGGAUAACGUCCGGAAACGGGCGCUAAUACCGCAUACGUCCUGAGGGAGAAAGUGGGGGAUCUUCGGACCUCACGCUAUCAGAUGAGCCUAGGUCGGAUUAGCUAGUUGGUGGGGUAAAGGCCUACCAAGGCGACGAUCCGUAACUGGUCUGAGAGGAUGAUCAGUCACACUGGAACUGAGACACGGUCCAGACUCCUACGGGAGGCAGCAGUGGGGAAUAUUGGACAAUGGGCGAAAGCCUGAUCCAGCCAUGCCGCGUGUGUGAAGAAGGUCUUCGGAUUGUAAAGCACUUUAAGUUGGGAGGAAGGGCAGUAAGUUAAUACCUUGCUGUUUUGACGUUACCAACAGAAUAAGCACCGGCUAACUUCGUG
rnacentral:rRNA from 1 species